UCUGGUGACCGUAGAGCCGCGGCCCCACCCGGUCCCAUCCCGAACCCGGAAGUGAAACGCGGCAUCGCCGAUGGUAGUAGGGCGAAAGGCCCUGUGAGAGUAGGUCGUUGCCAGUU
rnacentral:rRNA from 1 species